rnacentral:rRNA from 1 species
CAGCAGCCGCGGGAAUACGAAGGGUGCAAGCGUUAAUCGGAAUUACUGGGCGUAAAGCGUACGCAGGCGGUUUGUUAAGUCAGAUGUGAAAUCCCCGGGCUCAACCUGGGAACUGCAUUUGUGACUGGCAAGCUAGAGUCUGGCAGAGGGGGGUGGAAUUCCGCGUGUAGCAGUGAAAUGCGUAGAUAUGCGGAGGAACACCGAUGGCGAAGGCAGCUACCUGGACUGAGACUGACACUGAGGCGCGAGAGCGUGGGGAGCAAACAGGAUUAGAUACCCCGGUAGUCCCUGUCUCUUAUAC